rnacentral:rRNA from 1 species
AUUGAACGCUGGCGGCAGGCUUAACACAUGCAAGUCGAGCGGAGUAUUGGUGCUUGCACCAAUGCUUAGCGGCGGACGGGUGAGUAAUGCUUAGGAAUCUGCCUAUUAGUGGGGGACAACAUCUCGAAAGGGAUGCUAAUACUGCAUACGCCCUACGGGGGAAAGCAGGGGAUCUUCGGACCUUGCGCUAAUAGAUGAGCCUAAGUCGGAUUAGCUAGUUGGUGGGGUAAAGGCCUACCAAGGCGACGGUCUGUAGCGGGUCUGAGAGGAUGAUCCGCCACACUGGGACUGAGACACGGCCCAGACUCCUACGGGAGGCAGCAGUGGGGAAUAUUGGACAAUGGGCGCAAGCCUGAUCCAGCCAUGCCGCGUGUGUGAAGAAGGCCUUUUGGUUGUAAAGCACUUUAAGCGAGGAGGAGGCUCCUUUAGUUAAUACCUAAAGAGAGUGGACGUUACUCGUAGAAUAAGCACCGGCUAACUCUGUGCCAGCAGCCGCAGUAACAC